rnacentral:rRNA from 1 species
GCGGGAUCGACUAUCUCCAACCCCUGUGACAUACCACUUGUUGCCUCGGCGGAUCAGCCCGCUCCCGGUAAAACGGGACGGCCCGCCAGAGGACCCCUAAACUCUGUUUCUAUAUGUAACUUCUGAGUAAAACCAUAAAUAAAUCAAAACUUUCAACAACGGAUCUCUUGGUUCUGGCAUCGAUGAAGAACGCAGCAAAAUGCGAUAAGUAAUGUGAAUUGCAGAAUUCAGUGAAUCAUCGAAUCUUUGAACGCACAUUGCGCCCGCCAGUAUUCUGGCGGGCAUGCCUGUUCGAGCGUCAUUUCAACCCUCAAGCACAGCUUGGUGUUGGGACUCGCGUUAAUUCGCGUUCCUCAAAUUGAUUGGCGGUCACGUCGAGCUUCCAUAGCGUAGUAGUAAAACCCUCGUUACUGGUAAUCGUCGCGGCCACGCCGUUAAACCCCAACUUCUGAAUGUUGACCUCGGAUCAGGUAGGAAUACCCGCUGAACUUAAGCAUAUCAAUAAGCGGAGGAA